GAUGUGCAGAAGGACCUCACAGAGCUGGUCUGCACAAUCCUUCAGGAGUCUGGAGCUGAUGCCGUCGGGACCUGUGGUCUUCCUCGCCUUGAUCUUCCUCAGCUGGCUUCUCACCUGAUCAGCUGUUAUGGAGAGGCCGUCGGAGGAGGAGGAAGAAGAGGAGGGGGAGGAGAGGGCUGUUGAGGGGGGUGGCAGGGUACUCAGGGUACUCAGAUGGAGUGUCUGAGAAGCAGGCUGGUCUGCGCUCUGGUGGGUGGGGGUGGGGUUGGGAGCAGAAUCAAAUCUGUUGAAGAACAGAUUCAGUUAAUUUGCCCACUCCCUGUCUCCUGCUUCAGGGCCCCUCCCACGCCUUCUGCUGUGACCUGAGAUGUUAUUCAGGCCCCUCCAGACUUCUCUUGCAUUUUUAUGUUGUAAAUGCUCCUCCAUCUUUGUAGCUGGCUUUCCCCUCCUUGAUUUUUUUCUUGAGCUCCUUCUGCACCCUCCUCAGCUCCUCUCUAUCU